GUUGUAACUCAGUGGUAGAGCGCUUGUCUCCUAUGUGUGAGGCACUGGGUUCGAUUCCCAGCACCACA
rnacentral:tRNA from 1 species